rnacentral:rRNA from 1 species
CCUACGGGAGGCAGCAGUGGGGAAUAUUGGACAAUGGGGGCAACCCUGAUCCAGCCAUGCCGCGUGUGUGAAGAAGGCCCUCGGGUUGUAAAGCACUUUCAGUGAGGAAGAACGCCUGGUGGUUAAUACCCAUCAGGAAAGACAUCACUCACAGAAGAAGCACCGGCUAACUCCGUGCCAGCAGCCGCGGUAAUACGGAGGGUGCGAGCGGUAAUCGGAAUUACUGGGCGUAAAGCGCGCGUAGGUGGCUUGAUAAGCCGGUUGUGAAAGCCCCGGGCUCAACCUGGGAACGGCAUCCGGAACUGUCAAGCUAGAGUGCAGGAGAGGAAGGUAGAAUUCCCGGUGUAGCGGUGAAAUGCGUAGAGAUCGGGAGGAAUACCAGUGGCGAAGGCGGCCUUCUGGACUGACACUGACACUGAGGUGCGAAAGCGUGGGUAGCAAACAGGAUUAGAUACCCCAGUAGUC